GACGUAGGGUGCGAGCGUUGUCCGGAUUUAUUGGGCGUAAAGAGCUCGUAGGCGGCUCGUCGCGUCGACCGUGAAAACCCGCGGCUUAACUGCGGGCUUGCGGUUGAUACGGGCGGGCUAGAGUUCGGUAGGGGAGACUGGAAUUCCUGGUGUAGCGGUGAAAUGCGCAGAUAUCAGGAGGAACACCGGUGGCGAAGGCGGGUCUCUGGGCCGAUACUGACGCUGAGGAGCGAAAGCCAGGGGAGCAAACGGG
rnacentral:rRNA from 1 species